UUAUUUCAAACGGCAUUAAUCUCACCCCAGCGGCCAAACUUGUCCCGAAUCGUAGAGCCUUUACUUGUUAAUAUUUUUCCCAUUAACGUAUCGUUUACUUGUACGGCAAGAGACAGAGAGAGAUCGAUGAUCGCAGACUUUUAGCGUUCGAUUCCCAAAGCCAAACAGUCCCCAACUUGCUUUUGAUUUCUUUCAUUUCAGCUGGUGGAUUUGUUUUGGAUGCUGGAAAUUUGAAGCUUUUGUACUUUUUGAUCUUGGGAAAAUUUGAAGCAGUUGCUUAGGGAUAAGAUAUCUUGGAAAUUUUGAUGAAUGUGGGUGUAAUUGUUGGAAAUUUUAUGUGUUAGUGUUUGAAUUUAGUGGAGAAAUGAGUGUGGUAGGGUUUGAUAUUGGGAAUGAGAACUGCGUUAUUGCGGUUGCUAAGCAACGCGGUAUCGAUGUGUUGUUGAAUGAUGAAUCGAAGCGUGAGACACCUGCCGUUGUUUCAUUUGGUGAGAAACAAAGGUUCAUGGGCUCAGCUGGAGCUGCUUCUGCAACCAUGAAUCCUAAAUCUACUAUUUUACAGGUUAAGAGAUUGAUUGGUAGGAAGUUUAGCGAACCUGAUUUGGAGAAAGAACUUAAUUUGUUCCCUUUCGAAACUUUUGAAGGUCCUGAUGGUGGAAUUUUGAUCCGAUUACAGUUUUUGGGCGAGGUUCAUGAAUUUACUCCUGUACAGAUUUUGGGGAUGUUGCUUUCACAUUUAAAGCAGAUUGCUGAGAAGAAUUUGGAAAUGCCUGUUUCGGAUUGUGUGAUAGGAAUUCCAUCUUACUUCACUGAUUUACAGAGGCAUGCUUAUUGGGAUGCAGCAGUGAUUGCUGGACUAAAGCCGUUGAGAUUGUUGCAUGAUUGUACUGCCACUGCCCUUGGAUAUGGAAUUUACAAGACUGAUUUCUCUGACUCCGGUCCAAUUUAUACUGUCUUUGUGGAUGUUGGUCAUUGUGACACGCAGGUUUGUGUUGCAUCAUUUGAGACUGGACAAAUGAAGAUUAUCUCUCAUGCUUUUGACAGGAGCUUGGGAGGACGAGAUUUUGAUGAAGUUUUGUUCAAUUACUUUGCAUCCCAAUUUAAGGAGCAGUAUAACAUUGAUGUUUAUACAAAUAUAAAGGCUUCUAUUAGGUUGAGGGCAUCCUGUGAGAAGCUGAAGAAGGUCUUGAGUGCAAAUGCAGAAGCACAACUUAAUAUAGAGUGCUUGAUGAAUGAGAAAGAUGUUAGGGGUUUUAUCAAGAGGGAGGAGUUUGAGAAGUUGUCAUCUGACUUGUUGGAAAGGAUUAGUGUCCCUUGUCACAAGGCUUUGGCGGAUUCUGGUCUGACUCUGGGUAAAAUCAAUUCAGUUGAGCUUGUUGGAUCAGGCUCUCGAAUUCCAGCUAUCACAAGGAUUUUAGCUUCUAUAUUCAACCGAGAGCCUAGCCGAACAAUAAAUGCUAGUGAGUGUGUGGCUCGUGGUUGUGCUCUUCAGUGUGCAAUGCUCAGCCCAAUAUUUCGUGUUAGAGAGUAUGAGGUUCAAGAUUCUCUUCCUUUAUCUAUUGGAUUCUCAUCUGACAGGGGUCCAGUUUGCACACUGUCAAAUGGUGUGCUUUUUCCAAAAAGGCACCCAUUUCCAAGCCUUAAGAUUCUUACUUUGCAUAGAACUAAUACAUUCCAUAUGGAAGCUUUCUAUGUAAAUCCAAAUGAGUUACCUUCUGGAUUAUCACCUCAAAUUAAUACUUUCACGAUUGGACCUAUGCAAUCCCACACAAACAUGGCUAAAGUGAGGGUCAGAGUUCAGCUAAAUCUUCAUGGGAUUGUCUUAUUGGAUUCAGCUUUGCUAAUAGAAGAGCACAUGGAUAGCUCUGUGACGUACAAUGAUCCCCAUUUGACUUCAGAAGAGGUGGAGGACAAAUCUGAUAGGAUGUCUUCAGUAGAAAAUAAUGCUGAAGUCAGCGAUCAUGUACAAUCAGAACCUCCAUCUGGUCCUGCUGCUGGUGUGGCAAGAAAAGGAAGCGUUCUGAAAAGGUUGGAAAUUCCAAUUAGUGAGAGUGUCUCUGGUGGAACAAAAAGGACUGAUCUCACUAAAGCUGAAGAGAAAGAACGUUGGUUAAUGCAACAGGACUUAAAGAUGGAGCAAGCAAAAGAGAAGAAAAAUGCCCUGGAGUCUUAUGUUUAUGAGAUGCGUGAUAAGAUUUUAAAUGCAUACCGGAGCUUUGCCAAUGAGUCAGAGAGUGAAGAGAUUUCUAGAAAACUUCAGCAGACAGAAGAUUGGCUUUAUGAGGAUGGAAUGGAUGAAUCUGAAAAUGUUUAUGUAGAGAAGCUUGAGGAUUUGAAAAAGCUUGUGGACCCUAUUGAAAAUCGAUAUAAAGAUGAAGAGGCUCGAGUACAAGCAACAAGGGAUCUGCUAAAGUUUAUUGCAGAUUAUCGGAUGGCUGCAGGAUCACUUUCAUCCAUUAAGAAAGAAGCGGUCAUUGAUGAGUGUAAUAAAGCAGAGUGGUGGUUACAAGAGAAAUCCCAACAACAGAAUUCCUUGCCCAAAGAUGUUGAUCCAAUGGUUUGGUCAAGUGAGAUCAAGAGAAAAGCAGAGGCUUUCGAAGCGACUUGCAAAUAUAUGAUUAGUUCCAAUGCUUCUCCACCAAGGAGGGAUGAUACGAAUGACUCGGAUCAGAUGGCAUGCAGUUAGAUUGAUAUUGAUAUGCGUAAAUUUAUAACACCGAAGACCAAACAACACGUAAAAGCAACUAAACCCAGCUACAGUUUGAAUGAUCAAGAUUUAUACUUACUGAUUGAAAAUUGAUUGGUUUAUUAGUUCCACUGCAUCAUCUUUGGUCGAAGUGAGAGCCGACUUUGUUUAUCUUGUUAGCAAGUUUUGAGGGGAAAAAAGAAGAAAGAAAAAGUCUCGAUCAUAAAUUACAAGUUCCACAUAGAGGAAGAAGCGAGUAUCAAAAUACUGUCAGAUGUAUGCACAUCAGCCACUGAGGCACUGACUGCUAUAGUAAAUCGAA